rnacentral:rRNA from 1 species
AUUGAACGCUGGCGGCAUGCCUUACACAUGCAAGUCGAACGGCAGCACGGGGGGCAACCCUGGUGGCGAGUGGCGAACGGGUGAGUAACACAUCGGAACGUGUCCUGUUGUGGGGGAUAACCAGUCGAAAGACUGGCUAAUACCGCAUGAGCUGGAGACAGGAAAGCGGGGGACCUGAAAGGGCCUCGUGCGAUUGGAGCGGCCGAUGUCCGAUUAGCUAGUUGGUGGGGAAAGGCCCACCAAGGCGACGAUCGGUAGCUGGUCUGAGAGGAUGAUCAGCCACACUGGGACUGAGACACGGCCCAGACUCCUACGGGAGGCAGCAGUGGGGAAUUUGGACAAUGGGGGCAACCCUGAUCCAGCCAUGCCGCGUGAGUGAAGAAGGCC